rnacentral:rRNA from 1 species
AUUGAACGCUGGCGGCAUGCCUUACACAUGCAAGUCGAACGGCAGCGCGGGAGCAAUCCUGGCGGCGAGCGGCGAACGGGUGAGUAGUGCAUCGGAACGUGCCCAGUUGUGGGGGAUGGCCCGGCGAAAGCCGGAUUAAUACCGCAUGAGACCUGAGGGUGAAAGCGGGGGAUCGAAAGACCUCGCGCGACUGGAGCGGCCGAUGUCAGAUUAGGUAGUUGGUGGGGUAAGGGCCUACCAAGCCUGCGAUCUGUAGCUGGUCUGAGAGGACGACCAGCCACACUGGGACUGAGACACGGCCCAGACUCCUACGGGAGGCAGCAGUGGGGAAUUUUGGACAAUGGGCGCAAGCCUGAUCCAGCCAUGCCGCGUGCGGGAAGAAGGCCUUCGGGUUGUAAACCGCUUUUGUCGGGGAAGAAACGGCCUGGGCUAAUACCUUGGGCUAAUGACGGUACCCGAAGAAUAAGCACCGGCUAACUACGUGCCAGCCGCCGCCGUAA